GAUGAACGCUGGCGGCGUGCCUAAUACAUGCAAGUCGAGCGAACGGACGAGACGCUUGCUUCUCUGAUGUUAGCGGCGGACGGGUGAGUAACACGUGGAUAACCUACCUAUAAGACUGGGAUCACUUCGGGAAACCGGAGCUAAUACCGGAUAAUAUUUUGAUCCGCAUGGUUCAAAAGUGAAAGACGGUCUUGCUGUCACUUCUCGCUGCAUCCGCGCUGCAUUAGCUAGUUGUUAAGGUAACGGCUUACCAAGGCAACGAUGCAUAGCCGACCUGAGAGGGUGAUCGGCCACAUGGGAGCUGAGACACGGUCAAGACGCCUACGGGAGGCAGCAGUAGGGAAUCUUACGCAAUGGGCGAAAGCAUGACGGAGCAAGGCCGCGUGAGAGAUGAAGGUCUUCGGAUCGUAAAAAUCUGUUAUUAGGGAAGAACAGAUGUGUAAGUAACUGUGCACAGCGUGACGGUACCUAAUCAGAAAGCCACGGCUAACUACGUG
rnacentral:rRNA from 1 species